UACGGGGGGAGCAAGCGUUGCUCGGAUUUACUGGGCGUAAAGGGCGCGUAGGCGGUGCGGUAAGUCACUUGUGAAAUCUCUGAGCUUAACUCAGAACGGCCAAGUGAUACUGCAGUACUAGAGUGCAGAAGGGGCAAUCAGAAUUCUUGGUGUAGCGGUGAAAUGCGUAGAUAUCAAGAGGAAUACCUGAGGUGAAGACGGGUUGCUAGGCUGACACUGACGCUGAGGCGCGAAAGCCAGGGGAGCAAACGGG
rnacentral:rRNA from 1 species